GUUUCCGUAGCGUAGUGGUUAUCACAUCUGCUUAACAUGCAGAAGGUCCUGGGUUCUAAACCCAGCUGAAACA
rnacentral:tRNA from 1 species